rnacentral:rRNA from 1 species
CCAAUAGCGUAUAUUAAAGUUGUUGCAGUUAAAAAGCUCGUAGUUGAAUUUCGGGAUCAAUAUAUCGGUCGUGCCAUUGGUACGUACUGGUAUCAUUGGUUUCUCCUUUCUGACGAACCAUGAUGUCAUUAAUUUGGUGUUAUGGGAAGUUAGGACUGUUACUUUGAAAAAAUUAGAGUGUUUAAAGCAGGCUUUAGCUUGAAUACAUUAGCAUGGAAUAAUGAAAUAGGACGUUCGAACCUAUUUUGUUGGUUUCUAGGAUCAACGUAAUGAUUAAUAGGGAUAGUUGGGGGCAUUAGUAUUCAAUUGUCAGAGGUGAAAUUCUUGGAUUUAUUUAAGACUAACUACUGCGAAAGCAUUUGCCAAGGAUGUUUUCAUUAAUCAAGAACGAAAGUUAGGGGAUCGAAGACGAUCAGAUACCGUCGUAGUCUUAACCAUAAACUAUGCCGACUAGGGAUCGGAUGAUGUUAAUUUUUUAAUGACUCAUUCGGCGCCUUACGG